rnacentral:rRNA from 1 species
UGGGGGAUAUUGCACAAUGGGGGGAACCCGUGAUGCAGCGACGCCGCGUGAACGAAGAAAUAUUUCGGUAUGUAAAGUUCUAUCAGCAGGGAAGAAAAUGACAGUACCUGACCAAGAAGCCCCGGCUAACUACGUGCC